CUCAGAACGAACGCUGGCGGCAGGCCUAACACAUGCAAGUCGAGCGCGCCCUUCGGGGUGAGCGGCGGACGGGUUAGUAACGCGUGGGAACGUACCCUUUGGUAGGGAAUAGCCACUGGAAACGGUGAGUAAUACCCUAUGAGCCCUUCGGGGGAAAGAUUUAUCGCCAAAGGAUCGGCCCGCGUUAGAUUAGGUAGUUGGUGGGGUAAUGGCCUACCAAGCCUACGAUCUAUAGCUGGUUUUAGAGGAUGAUCAGCAACACUGGGACUGAGACACGGCCCAGACUCCUACGGGAGGCAGCAGUGGGGAAUCUUGGACAAUGGGGGCAACCCUGAUCCAAGCCAUGCCGCGUGAGUGAAGAAGGCCUUAGGGUCGUAAAGCUCUUUCGCCUGUGAAGAUAAUGACGGUAGCAGGUAAAGAAACCCCGGCUAACUCCGUGCCAGCAGCAGC
rnacentral:rRNA from 1 species